AGAUACCCCACUAUGCUUAGCCCUAAACCUAGAUAGUGCCACAACCAACUAUUCGCCAGAGAACUACCAGCAACUAGCUUAAAACUCAAAAGACUUGACGGUGUCCCACAUCAGCCUAGAGGAGCCUGUCCUAUAAUCGAUACUCCACGCUAUACCUCACCCGCCCUUGCAAUACAGUCUAUAUACCGCCGUCCCCACUUACCUAAUGAUAGAAUAAUAAUAAGUAAAACAGUCCCAUCACUAAUACGUCAGGUCAAGGUGUAACUUAUGAGCGGGCAGAGAUGGGCUACAUUCUCUAAUAACAAGAUCACCACCCCGGACACCAUGAAAAUAUGGGCCCUUAAGGAGGAUUUAGUAGUAAGACCGGGCAAGACCAGCCCAACUGAAACAUGCUCUGGGACGCGUACAC
rnacentral:rRNA from 1 species